GCUUCUUUUAGCGUCAGGUCUCACCCACAGUGACAAAGCCCUGGCACUUCACAAGUACAACCGCAUCUCUUGGUGGAGCACUUCCUCUUACACAGAACUUAAAGUUGUUUGUUGCAGCAAUAAAAAACGUCCCUCUAACUUAUAAGUAAUUAUCACAGACAUAUAUAGUAAAAAUUGAAGGCUGAAGCUGUGAUUGGUUGUGUACGUCUUUACUCUGCUCUAAUCUGAUUGGCUGUGGUCAAAUAUUCACGACACAAGGGAAGGCUGUUUGUGAGAUAUAAGAAGACACUAAUACGUCCGUUGGUAUCGAACCCUUCCAGACGAACAGAGCACACUUCACAGGACGGAGGUCAACUAUUGAGAGAAGACAAAAUGAAGGUUGUUCUCCUGACUGCCGUCAUAGUCACCCUGACUCUUCUUCACGAGGGCCAAGGAGUCCCUCCGAUGUUAGAGCCCUGCAAGCAGAUGGCUAGCAUGCAAUCAUACACCGUUUUUGCCAAAUGACACAUCAUCUCAGGUAGCUUCGACAGGAACUCUUUGGUGGAGUGGGCAAGGUACCUUCAACUCAACAACCUCUGCGGCAGAGAACCCACACAAUCCUUCAUUGACGCCAAAGCAAAGGAUGUCCAGAAGAUCUGUUCCUACUCUGGCCGGCUUGUGAAAAGUGCUCCUCCGAGUCAGGGUGAUUUCUGCAUCAGUGCUUCAAUGAUGACGGUCUAUCGCGUCAAAUCUGACACUCGUUGCAAUGUUUCAGAUGCAAUACCUGUCAGUCAGUAUGUGGUCGUUAGAUGUGCUGCGGUUAAUAGAACCUGCCGGCCGAUCCAUUAUGAAGCUUACAGAAACCAAAUGCCGGACAAAGAACAUUGCACUUCUCCACAGUAGGGGUAGGAUUAGAGCAAAAUUCUCUCCAACUGUCAGGCUGAUGAUUUCCUGACAUCUAAAGAACAUAUCAAGCUUUGCUUAAUGAAUGAUUCUAGCUAAUACAGCAUGAAUAAAUACUGAUAUGCCUUUUGUGUGGUUUUUCAACUCGUCCUCAUUUGAGCCUGUUUCAACAACAUUUUACAGGAUGAGCUUAAUGUCAGGGAAACAAGAGAUUUUAACAGCUUGGCAGCACAACUAUCAUGCUCAGUAGAGAUAAUGUAACCAAAAUCAGUUCUUGAUUAGAUUUCUGUACUUGGACUUUUUUAUUUUAAGCUGAAACUAAUUUGAAACAACAUUCAAGUACAUGAAUGAAUCUUCUCAUGAUUUCUAUCAGUUUGCAAUGUGUUGAUUAUCUGUUUGCUUUGCAUACCACAAAAAUAAAUGCCUGAAACCUG